AAAUUUCUCGAUCACUAGCUUAUUUAAAAAUGUUGAAGAUGGGUGGGAGUGGGCUUUUGUAGGCACCUAAGGGCCAAACAUGGAUGGAGAUAGGAGAAGACUUUGGGAGGAGUUGGCGGGCCUAUACUAUUUAUGGGAUGUGCUGUGGCGCAUGGAUGGGGAUUUCAAUAUUACCCACUUUCCCAGUGAGCGAUCGGGUCGCUAUCGGAACUCCUCAGCCAUGGAGGAGUUCUCUGAGUUCAUAUUUGAUUUGAACCUCAUGGACCUUCCCCUUGUUGGGGGUGAGUUCACAUGGUCAAAUAGCCGGGUAUGCUCAAACCAUUUUCCUAUCUUGUUAGAUUGUGAAGGUGUUCAUGGGAGAUGCCAGUAUUUCAAGUUUGAAAAUAUGUGACUAACAGCUAAGGGUUUCUCAGAGAAGGUCCAUUCUUGGUGAUCUUCUUAUCAGUUCACAGGUACUCCCAGUUUCAUUCUUGCAGGUAAGCUAAAGGCUCUGAAGCAAGACCUAAAAAAGUGGAACUUGGAAGUCUUUGGCAGCAUUGAUGACCAGAAGACUACCCUCAUGGAGGAGCUACAGGAGUUAGAAGGGAGGGAAGUAUCAGGAGAUACCUCGGAGGAAGCAUUAUUGAGGAAGAGUUCAGUUGUGACAGAACUGGAAAGGGUGUUGUUGAAGGAGGAGACCUCGUGGCGCCAAAAAUCCAGGGCACUUUGGUUAAGGGAAGGUGAUAAAUGUACAAAUUUUUUCCACAAAAUGGCUAAUUCACAUAGGCGUAGCAAUGUUAUUGAGACGCUCCACUCAAGUGCUCUCCCCCCCCCC